rnacentral:rRNA from 1 species
GACGAACGCUGGCGGCGUGCUUAACACAUGCAAGUCGAACGGAAGGGUCCUGCUUUUGUGGGCUGCUCUAGUUGCGACCGGGUGAUUUGCACUUUAGUACCCUGCCCUUGCCUUUGAGAUCUCUUCAUACAACUGGGUCUAAUACCUGAUAAGAGCUCCUGCUGCAUGGUGGGGGUUGGAUAGUUUCGGCGGUUGGGGAUGGACUCGCGGCUUAUCAGCUUGUUGGUGGGGUAGUGGCUUACCAAGGCUUUGACGGGUAGCAGGGCUGAGCGGGUGACCGGACAAAUUGGGACGGAGAUGAGGCACAGACUACUACGGGAGGCAGGAGUGGGGAAGAGUGUACAAUGGGCGGAAGGCAGAUGCAGCAAAGCAGCGUGGGGGAUGACGGGAAUGGGGUAGUAAACUGAUGUCGCCUGUGACGAAGAGUGAGUGACGGUAAUGGGUAAAGAAGCACCGGCUAACUACGUG